rnacentral:rRNA from 1 species
UACAGAGGGGGCAAGCGUUGUUCGGAAUUACUGGGCGUAAAGGGCGCGUAGGCGGCGUGCUAAGUCGAACGUGAAAUCCCCGGGCUCAACCCGGGAACUGCGUCCGAGACUGGCAUGCUUGAAUCCGGGAGAGGGAUGUGGAAUUCCAGGUGUAGCGGUGAAAUGCGUAGAUAUCUGGAGGAACAUCGGUGGCGAAGGCGGCAUCCUGGACCGGUAUUGACGCUGAGGCGCGAAAGCCAGGGGAGCAAACAGG